AUUGAACGCUGGCGGCAUGCCUUACACAUGCAAGUCGAACGGCAGCACGGGGCAACCUGGUGGCGAGUGGCGAACGGGUGAGUAAUGCAUCGGAACGUACCUUUCAGUGGGGAUAACGUAGCGAAAGUUACGCUAAUACCGCAUAUUCUGUGAGCAGGAAAGCAGGGGAUCGCAAGACCUUGCGCUGAUUGAGCGGCCGAUGUCAGAUUAGCUAGUUGGUGAGGUAAAGGCUCACCAAGACGACGAUCUGUAGCGGGUCUGAGAGGAUGAUCCGCCACACUGGAACUGAGACACGGUCCAGACUCCUACGGGAGGCAGCAGUGGGGAAUUUUGGACAAUGGGGGCAACCCUGAUCCAGCCAUGCCGCGUGAGUGAAGAAGGCCUUCGGGUUGUAAAGCUCUUUCGGCCGGGAAGAAAUCGCACAGGCUAAUACCCUGUGUGGAUGACGGUACCGGAAUAAGAAGCACCGGCUAACUACGUGCCAGCCGCCGCCGUAA
rnacentral:rRNA from 1 species